GGUUGGGGUAGAGGUAGAGUUAGGGGUAGGGUUAAGGGUUGGGGUAGGGUUAGAGGAUGGGGAAGGGUUAAGGUUAGUGGUUGGAGUAGGGGUAGGGUAGGGGUAGGGUAACCCUAUUCUUAACCCUACCACUAACCUUUCCCCUAACCCUAACCAUACACCUAACCCUACCCUACCCCUAACCCUAACCCUAAACUUACCCCUUACCCUACCAUAACUCUACUCCUAUGACUGCUCCUAACCUAACCCCUAAUGCUACCUCUAACUCAUCCCUAACCCUACCCCUACUCCUGAACUAACCCUACCCGAACUCUACCCAUACCCCUACCC